rnacentral:tRNA from 1 species
UAAAUGGAAGCCAAAGUUGAGGCGUCUAGCUGUUAAUUAGAAGACUGUAAAUAUUAAAUUACCCAUUUAG